UUUUUUUUUUUUUUUUUUUUUUUAGGGUUGGGUGUUUUACUGUUGAGCUGCUCAGUGCCCAGCUUAGAGGACCAGGAAAAGGAGUCACCGGCCGUAUGCUGGAGGCUUGAGACACGGCACAGAGGCGCAGCUCGCCUCGCUAUGGUUGGUGGUGGCAGUGGAGAUUGCGAUUGCAGCGCGGCUGGAAGGUCCUUUAGGUUGUUUGAGGGACAUUGAUCAAGGAAACCGGAGAAACUUAAAAUGCUCUUCCGCUUCUUUGGAACAGUCACAGAGAAAAGUGAACUCCUUUCAUUCUUGCAGUAAUUUUUCUUGCUGAUGGGAACAGUUCAAGUCAAGUGACAUGUGAGGAACAUUUUGUGUUUAACAUUUUGAAAGAACAAAGAGGAACUACAGAAUCAUUGCUUACAUUGACACCGGCCCUGUUGUCCCAAUGGAUGGGUUUUUUUUGGAUGAACGUCAAAAUUGACCCUGCUGUUAAAGCUUGAAACUUGGAUCUGUUGUAUCUGAGUUCUCUCCUCAAAAAAAGACCUUCAGGAAGUAUCAGAUAACUGAAACAUACCAGAUCACAGCACCACAUGCCUCCUGCCCCUCCCUAAUUUCUGUUCUCUUAUACAUUGUUAAAUUUUUUUCCUGCCCCUAUUAGUCAAGCCCAUGGAUUUGAGACUGAGCUUCCAGCUCCUGGGCCGCAGCACCAGGUUAAAGCUUUCUUCCUUGGCAGUACUUGUCACCUCAGUGACUGGCUUUUUCUCCGAUGAGCAGGAGGACCUGGACGAAACCCCUAGUGUUUGGUCAAGGAACUUGAUGCUCCCUAAAUCCAAAUAUUACGGUUAAAAGAAGAGAGAGGAAAUGUGUGCAGAGAAAGUGUAUUUUACAAAUGAAUUAAAGGUGGAUUCUGAGAUACAGGUUUAUAGAUUUACCUAGAGUUUUGAGUUCAGGAAGCCAUCAUUCUUUAGAGGGCAAUGACCAAACAGUACCAGCAGAAAUUGAAGUACCAGCAGAAGGCUAAGAAGGGAUCAUGGCACAAGCUGCAGUUUCCACCCUGCCCAUUGAAGAUGAGGAGUCCGUGGAAGAUGAGGAGUCCGUUGAAGAUGAGUCUGUUGAAGAUGAGUCCGCAGAGAACAGGAUGGUGGUGACAUUGCUCAUAUCAGCUCUUGAGUCCAUGAACUGCUCUACACUUGGCCUGUGCCAGUGGCCAUGUGCAAGUGGUCACUCUCCUGGUUAACAGAAAAUGCCAGAUUGAUGUCUGUGACAAAGAAAACAGAACGCCUUUGAUACAGGCUGUCCAUUGCCAGGAAGAGGCUUGUGCCGUUAUUCUGCUGGAACAUGGCGCCAAUCCAAACCUUAAGGAUAUCUACGGCAACACUGCUCUCCAUUAUGCCGUGUAUAGUGAGAGCACCUCACUGGCAGAAAAACUGCUUUCCCAUGGUGCACAUAUUGAAGCACUGGACAAGGACAAUAAUACCCCACUUUUAUUUGCUAUAAUUUGCAAGAAAGAGAAAAUGGUGGAAUUUUUAUUGAAAAGGAAAGCAAGUUCACAUGCCGUUGAUAGGCUGAGACGGUCAGCUCUCAUGCUUGCUGUAUACUAUGACUCACCAGGUAUUGUCAAUAUCCUUCUUAAGCAAAAUAUUGAUGUCUUCGCUCAAGACAUGUGUGGACGAGAUGCAGAAGAUUAUGCUAUUUCUCAUCAUUUGACAAAAAUUCAACAACAAAUUUUGGAACAUAAAAAGAAGAUACUUAAAAAGGAGAAAUCAGAUGUUGGAAGUUCUGAUGAAUCUGCAGUCAGCAUUUUCCAUGAACUGCGUGUGGAUUCAUUGCCUGCAUCGGAUGACAAAGACUUGAAUGUUGCUACUAAGUGUGUCCCCGAGAAAGUGUCAGAGCCUUUACCUGGAUCUUCGCAUGAAAAAGGAAACAGAAUAGUCAAUGGACAAGGAGAAGGGCCUCCUGCAAAACAUCCUUCCUUGAAGCCUAGCACUGAAGUAGAAGAUCCUGCUGUGAAAGGAGCAGUACAAAGAAAGAAUGUACAGACAUUGAGAGCAGAACAAGCCUUACCAGUGGCUUCAGAGGAAGAGCAAGAAAGGCAUGAAAGAAGUGAAAAGAAGCAACCACAGGUCAAAGAAGGAAAUAAUACAAACAAAAGUGAAAAAAUACAACUUUCAGAAAAUAUAUGUGAUAGUACAUCUUCUGCUGCUGCUGGCAGAUUAACCCAACAAAGAAAGAUUGGGAAAACGUAUCCUCAGCAAUUUCCCAAGAAGCUGAAGGAAGAGCAUGAUAGAUGCACCUUAAAACAAGAAAAUGAAGAAAAAACAAAUGUUAAUAUGC
rnacentral:lncRNA from 1 species